rnacentral:rRNA from 1 species
UACGUAGGGGGCUAGCGUUGUCCGGAUUUAUUGGGCGUAAAGAGCGUGUAGGCGGCCAGGUAGGUCUGGUGUGAAAACUCGAGGCUUAACCUCGAGAUGUCAUCGGAAACCAUCUGGCUAGAGUCCGGAAGAGGAGAGUGGAAUUCCUGGUGUAGCGGUGAAAUGCGCAGAUAUCAGGAAGAACACCAAUGGCGAAAGCAGCUCUCUGGGACGGUACUGACGUUGAGACGCGAAAGCGUGGGGAGCGAACAGG